rnacentral:rRNA from 1 species
GAUUAGCCAUGCAAGUCUCAGUACAAGCCGAACUAAGGUGAAACCGCAAAAGGCUCAUUAAAUCAGUUAUGGUUCCUUGGAUCGUACAAUCCAUUACUUGGAUAACUGUGGUAAUUCUAGAGCUAAUACAUGCAAACAGAGUCCCGACCAGAAAUGGAAGGGACGCUUUUAUUAGAUCAAAACCAAUCGACGUCCGUCUUCCUCCGGGUCGACGGCGCCGUACUCCUUGGUGACUCUGAAUAACUUUUGGCAGAUCGCACGGUCUUCGAACCGGCGACGCAUCCUUCAAAUGUCUGCCUUAUCAACUGUCGAUGGUAGGUUCUGCGCCUACCAUGGUUGUAACGGGUAACGGGGAAUCAGGGUUCGAUUCCGGAGAGGGAGCCUGAGAAACGGCUACCACAUCCAAGGAAGGCAGCAGGCGCGCAAAUUACCCACUCCCGGCACGGGGAGGUAGUGACGAAAAAUAACGAUACGGGACUCAUCCGAGGCCCCGUAAUCGGAAUGAGUAUACUCUAAAUCCUUAUACGAGUAUCAAUUGGAGGGCAAGUCUGGUGCCAGCAGCCGCGGUAAUUCCAGCUCCAAUAGCGUAUAUUAAAGUUGUUGCGGUUAAAAAGCUCGUAGUUGGAUCUGUGUCCCGCACCGUCGGUUCACCGCCUGUCGGUGUUCAACUGGUGUGUAUGCGGGACGUCCUGCCGGUGGCGGUCCGGUUCCCCGUGGGUACGUAGGGGCGUCCUUGCUUACGCUUGCGUCGUCCCCGAAGGCCUGCGCGGUGUAUCCGGCCGCCUUUUCAAUCCCGUCGCGGUGCUCUUCACUGAGUGUCGAGGCGGGCCGGCACGUUUACUUUGAACAAAUUAGAGUGCUUUAAGCAGGCCCUGUCCCGCCUGUAUGUUGUGUGCAUGGAAUAAUGGAAUAGGACCUCGGUUCUAUUUUGUUGGUUUCGGAAUCUGAGGUAAUGAUCAAUGGGGACAGGCGGGGGCAUUCGUUAUUGCGACGUAGAGUGAAUUCUUGGAUCGUCGCAGACGGACCGAAGCGAAAGCAUUUGCCAAGUAUGUUCUCGUCGAUCAAG